UACAGAGGGUGCAAGCGUUAAUCGGAAUUACUGGGCGUAAAGCGUGCGUAGACGGUUAUGUAAGUCGGGUGUGAAAGCCCCGGGCUCAACCUGGGAAUUGCAUUCGAGACUGCAUAGCUAGGGUGCGGAAGAGGGAAGCGGAAUUUCCGGUGUAGCGGUGAAAUUCGUAGAUAUUCGCAAGAACACCAGUGGCGAAGGCGGCUCACUGGCCCGGUACUGACGCUGAGGUGCGAAAGCGUGGGGAGCAAACAGG
rnacentral:rRNA from 1 species